rnacentral:ncRNA from 2 species
CCGGCUGAGGAGCGCUGCAGCGGACAUCCGUCAGGCUCAGCCGGGGGUCUUUUCAACCAUGCAACGGCGCUCAUCCAGA